CGAGCGCACCCUUAUCCUUGUUUGCCAGCGAGUAAUGUCGGGAACUCCAGGGAGACUGCCGGUGAUAAACCGGAGGAAGGUGGGGACGACGUCAAGUCAUCAUGGCCCUUACGAGUAGGGCUACACACGUGCUACAAUGGCGCAUACAGAGGGCGGCCAACUUGCGAAAGUGAGCGAAUCCCAAAAAGUGCGUCGUAGUCCGGAUUGGAGUCUGCAACUCGACUCCAUGAAGUCGGAAUCGCUAGUAAUCGUGGAUCAGAAUGCCACGGUGAAUACGUUCCCGGGCCUU
rnacentral:rRNA from 1 species